rnacentral:rRNA from 1 species
CCUACGGGAGGCAGCAGUAGGGAAUUUUCGGCAAUGGGGGGAACCCUGAUCGAGCAACGCCGCGUGAACGAAGAAGUUAUUCGUAACGUAAAGCUCUUUUAACAGGGAAGAAAGAGAAAUUUGACGGUACCUGAAGAAUAAGCUCCGGCUAACUACGUGCCAGCAGCCGCGGUAAUACGUAGGGAGCGAGCGUUAUCCGGAAUUAUUGGGCGAAAAGGGUGCGUAGAUGGCAUAGUAAGUCUUUUGUAAAAAUGCUGGGUUAAACCCAGUAGGGCAAAAGAUACUGCAAAGCUAGAGUAUGACAGAGGCGAGUGGAACUACAUGUGUAGCGGUAAAAUGCGUAAAUAUAUGUAAGAACACCAGUGGCGAAGGCGGCUUGCUGGGUCGAUACUGACAUUGAGGCACGAAAGCGUGGGGAGCAAACAGGAUUAGAUACCCCUGUAGUC